rnacentral:rRNA from 1 species
GACGAACGCUGGCGGCGUGCUUAACACAUGCAAGUCGAACGGAAAGGCCCUGCUUUUGUUGGGUGCUCGAUUGGCGAACGGGUGAGUAACACGUGAGUAACCUGCCCUUGACUUUGGGAUAACUUCAGGAAACUGGGGCUAAUACCGGAUAGGAGCUCCUGCUGCAUGGUGGGGGUUGGAAAGUUUCGGCGGUUGGGGAUGGACUCGCGGCUUAUCAGCUUGUUGGUGGGGUAGUGGCUUACCAAGGCUUUGACGGGUAGCCGGCCUGAGAGGGUGACCGGCCACAUUGGGACUGAGAGACGGCCCAGACUCCUACGGGAGGCAGCAGUGGGGAAUAUUGCACAAUGGGCGGAAGCCUGAUGCAGCAACGCCGCGUGCGGGAUGACGGCCUUCGGGUUGUAAACCGCUUUCGCCUGUGACGAAGCGUGAGUGACGGUAAUGGGUAAAGAAGCACCGGCUAACUACGUG